rnacentral:tRNA from 1 species
GCCUGUCUGGCUCAGUUGGUACAGCAUGUGACUCUUGAUCUCAGGGUCAUGAGUUCAAGUCUCACAUUGGGCA